rnacentral:lncRNA from 1 species
GUGUGAUUCCAGCACAAGAUGGCUGAUUCUUUUUCUAUAUGCUGUAGUAAACAUGUCACACACAGUAAUGGAGAACUAGCAGAAGAUAAGCAAGACAAGCAAGACAACCUUCUUGGACCAAGAAGGAAAAAUCCGAAUGAAGCAGAACAUAACCUUACUGAAUGGCAUCUCUCUUACAGUAGAGCGUAUAAUUAGCUCAGGCAUAUUUGUAUCCCCCAAGGGAGUUCUGAUGCAUAGUUCCUCUUCUAGGCUUUCUCUGAUUAUCUGGGCCAUUGUUGGACAUUUUUUUUACUGUUUGGGGCUUUAUGUCAUGCAGAACUUGGAACCUUCAUCCAGAAGUGAGGGGCAAGCUGUGCAUACAUCUUGGAAGCAUUUGGUGGAUUUACUGCUUUCAUCUGACUUUGGUCAUCUUUAUUCCUCAUUGAACCACAGAACAGGCCACAGAGGCAAUCACAUUUACAAAACAUGUUAUUGCAUCUCUUUGGCCAAACUGUGAGCCCCCAUAUGAGGCAGGGAAAUAGAUCUUGGCUCCCUGCAUAUGCGCCUUAACAUUAGUUAAAUGCAUGAGUGUAAAGUGGGGAACCACAUACUCUCAUCUUAAUUAUAUCCAUGGGUGACCGUUUCAUUUUUAAAGGUCACAUAUGUCUGAGAGAACUGGGAGUAACUGGCUUGAAGACAGGUUUUUGAGGAAUGGAAGGAGGACAAUCGCCCAAAAAGUGUCACCAGGAAGCUAGGAGAGAGACACAGCCCUGAUAUAAUACGUGCACAUUGUGGAAAAGUUAAAAGAAGAUUAGCCCUGAGCUAACUACUGCCAGUCCUCCCCUUUUUUGCUGAGGAAGCCUGGCCCUGAGCUAAUAUCUGUGCCCAUCUUCCUCUACUUUAUGUGUGGGACGUCUACCAUGGCAUGGUGUGCCAAGCGGUGCCAUGUCCACACCCAGGAUCCAAACCAGCAAACCCCAGGCCGCCGAGAAGCAGAACAUGCGAACUUAACCACUGCGCCACCGGGCCGGACGAUUUUGGAAUUCUGAAGGACUACCUCAGCACAUUUUUAAUCCAUCAGGCCUUUGGUUACUUUUCUUUCUUUUCCAAUUCCAGUUUUCAUUUUGAAUAACCUAAAAGUAAACUGUUUCUCAGAUGGUAAAAAGAACAUUC